rnacentral:rRNA from 1 species
AUGGCCCAAGAACACGCUCAUUCUUCGGUAGAGAGACUUUUGAAUUGUGAGGUAUCAUUACGAGCUCAAUAUAUAAGAGUGUUAUUCAAUGAAAUAACUCGAAUUUUAAACCAUUCAUUUGCUAGAACUACUCAUGCUAUGGAUGUGGGAGCAUCAACUCUAUUCCUUUGGGCUUCUGAGGAGGAGAAAUUGUUGGAAUAUUAUGAAAGAGUCCCGGGAGCCAGGAUGCAUGCCAGUUUCAUACAAGUUGGUGGAGUGGCACAAGAUCUGUCUCUUAGCCUAUGUCGAGAUAUUGAUUCCUCCACACAACAAUUUGCCUCUUGUAUCGACGAAUUAGAAGAGAUGUCAACCAACAGCCGUAUCUGAAAACAACGAUUAGUAGAUAUUGGUACUGUCACAGCUGAACAAGCAAAGGAUUGGGGAUUUGGUGGUGUAAUGUUAAGAGGUCAUGCGACAUGA